rnacentral:tRNA from 1 species
GGCCGCGGUGGGUCACGUCGGCGAGGAGCGGCAGGUCUCCCGGAUCGGUCUGCCCCGGUCCAACGCCCCGGCCGGUUCGAUCCCGGCCGCGGCGCC